rnacentral:misc_RNA from 1 species
GUGAAUCAUCGAAUUUUUGAACGCAAAUUGCACUCUCUUGGAUGCCGGAGAGUAUUCCUGUUUGAGGGUCAGUUUAAAUGAAAAUCGUUGUGGUUGCUGCUUUUCGUGGUGACGCACCGGAUUUGGGUCGUCUUGCGGUCGUUUAAGUGACCUAAAAUUUUGCAUGAUUUUUUUCGAACGUAUUUAAAUGAUUUUACUUACGUGUUCGAUAUCUAAUACUAUGUUAGGUGAU